UGACGGUACCUAUCGAAUCAGCAUCGGCUAACUCCGUGCCAGCAGCCGCGGUAAUACGGAGGAUGCAAGCGUUAUCCGGAUUUAUUGGGCGUAAAGCGUCCGUAGGUGGCWWWMCAAGUCAGUUGUUAAAGCGUAGAGCUUAACUCUAUAAGGGCAAUUGAAACUGGUUAGCUAGAGUGCGAUAGGGGCAARGGGAAUUCCCAGUGUAGCGGUGAAAUGCGUAGAUAUUGGGAAGAACAUCGGUGGCGAAG
rnacentral:rRNA from 1 species